UUAAAACAAAGCUUUAGGACUAAACUGCGAGAACCAGAGACUUGUUUGUAACGAUUCUUUGGGAGGUGGAAGGGUAUAUCUGUGAGACAUCUUUGAGAGAGGUGGGAGGGUUAUUCCGCGAAUAAAAAGAAGUAGGGGGUUAGAUCAAAAUUGGGGGGAGGGUUUCUUCUUCUUCUUCCUUUGAACCGUGACUUAGAGAGGAGAGAGGAGGGGCAACCGGUGGCGGGCGGCCGGCCAUGGCUCGCCGACAGCGAGAUUGGGCGGCGGGGGAAGGUUGCCCCUUACCUUGGGCGGGUGGUGACGGGAUAGGGGCGCCGGCGACAGCUUGGCGAACUGGAGGCGGCGGUGGUGUUGGCAGCGCUUCUGGUAGCGGUGGAGAUGGCGUUUGGCGCGGGGAGCGGGUGAGCUUCGUGGUGGAGUUGAGGCUCAGGCACUGGCCCUUUUAUAGUGGCGAGGGGGAGGAAAUGAUGAACGACCA
rnacentral:lncRNA from 1 species